rnacentral:rRNA from 1 species
GACGAACGCUGGCGGCGUGCUUAACACAGAAUGAAGAAACGAGUGGCGAACGGGUGAGUAACGCGUAAUCAACCUGCCCUUCAGAGGGGGACAACAGGUGGAAACGAAUGCUAAUACCUAAUACUGUGAGAGAGUUUUGCGUCCCAUUAGCUAGUUGGAGAGGUAACGGCUCACCAAGGCGAUGAUGGGUAGCCGGCCUGAGAGGGUGAUCGGCCACAAGCGGACUGAGACACGAGCCUUAGUCCUACGGGCGGAAGGAGUGGAGAAUAUUGGACAAUGGACCGAAGUCUGAUCAAGCAAUUCUGUGUGCAAGAUGAAGUUUUCGGGAUGUAAAGUGCUUUCAGUUGGGAAGCGGUACCAACAGAAGAAGUGACGGCUAAAUACGUGCCAGCAGCCGCGGUAAUAC